AAAUGUUUAUGUAUUAACAUUUCCCAUGCUCUACCUUUUCUAAUAAUUAUUAUAAUUUUCCAUAGGUUACAAAAUGGACAUUACCCAGAUGUCAGGCUUGAAGCUUCAUAAAGUAACUGAACAGAAUUUGGAAAACAAGGUUCUUCUUGGAAUCUUCCUAAUGUUUCAGGCAUAACUUUUCACCUCAUGGUCAGUAUCAAUUUCUC
rnacentral:lncRNA from 1 species